CUAAACCCAUCUCUUCACUACAAGCACCCAUCUCUUCACUACAAGCUCGGUCCAUUUUGGCUUGACUCGGCUUUUUUAGGCUAUAAUCGAUUCGACUCAGCUCAACUUCCAUCUGGUCCACUCAUAUUAAAUUCCCUUGAUAAUUAGCCGAGAUGAGUCGAGCCGAACCGAUAUAAGCUGAGUUGAGCGGAUAUAAGUUGAGCCAAGCCAAAAUAAGGCGAGUCGAGCCAAUAAGAGCCGAGUUGCGCUAACUCUAGCCAAAACCGAGACCGACCAAAAAAAACCUAAGAAAAAACAGAAAAAUUUUAAAAAAUCAAACAAAACAUUUCAGGAUCAGGACCCGACUUCCAGGUCUUUGAGGGACUCUUUUAUUUUCUUUUUGUAGCAGCCUAGCAAGUCUGGAGAGUAUUUUGUGGACGUGCAGAGAGAUAUCCUUUUUUUUUUUUUUGAGGGUUUCCUCUACUAAGACAGAGAGAUGGGCAAAAACAAUAGAGAGAAAUGGCUGCUGCCAGAGAGAGAAAGAGAUUACCUUGCAAUGAGAUUUUGCAGUUGCAGUUGUAGUGAGCUUGGCUGUGAAGAAAGAGGUAAUAAACAGUCUAUUUGAAGAAUUGGGAUAUGGAAACCCUAAUUAACUUCUAAAAAUUUGAAAAUUGUCUAUUUGUGAUUUUUAGAUAACAAUUUGUAGCUGAAACGAAAAAAGAUAUUUUAAUUUGGGAAUAAAAAAUGAUAUCCAAAAUUUGCCUUAUGUUCUAAAUUUCCACAAUUUCGCUAGUUCAAAAUUUCACUGAAAUUCCACAAAUUUUCUUAUAGAAUAUGUUAAUAGUUUUUUUUUCGUAUUUUCACUAUUUUAUUUUUUCUCAAUACCUCUGCUCGGCUUAUAUAGGCUUGGCUCGACUUAUAUCGGCUUCGCUCGGCUUACUUCAGCUUGGCUCAGCUUGAAAUAGAUCGGCUGAGCUCAGUUAGACUUGGCUAUGCUCUUUAUCGGCUCAGCUCGGCUAAAAGCAGUGUAAAUUGAAUUGAAGCAAGCCAACAUGAACUGAAAUAAGCCGACAAAAGCCGAGCCGAGCCGUUUUCAGCCGAGCCGAGCUGUGUACCCGAGCCGAGCCGCGUGUAGCCAUACCGAGCCAAACUGUAUGAGCCAAAGGAAAAAAAUCGGCGAAUUUCACACGCCGAAUUGAAUGAGCCGAGUAUCUCUUUUCUAAUCAUCUCUUUUUCACAAGCCGAAUUUCACAAGCCGAAUUUCACAUGCCGAAUUGAAUGAGCCGAACUGUAUCUCCUCUUUCUUUCAUCUCUUUUUCCCCCACUCACAAAAUCUCUCCAUCUCCCUUCUCUUUCAAUUUUCUAGACUCUUCCCCCACUUAUACGUCGGGCAAAGUCCAACUACCCACACUAAUAUCUCAUCCUGACUUUCAUUCUCACCCUCUAUAGAUCCACACGUUUUACAAACCAUCUGACUCUCUCUUACCGCAAACCAUUUUUUUCUCAACAAUCACCGCUCAUGGAGGACUGAAGACCCUUUUUGCUGAAAGGCUGCUAUAUAGGGCAGUAAAACUUACUUCGCAAGCUGCUCUACUGAGAGAAAAGAUGAGCUCUGAUCUGGUUAUGGAUGUGUAACCUGGCAAGGCCAUGCCUGCUUCCUUGGAAGUCCUCAAUGAAGCAUACGAUGAAUGUAGCAAGGUUUGAGCAGAGAGGGGUGUAAGCGUGAAGUAGUAGAGGGAGAGAAGCCUUGUCCAAUGACGCGUCUGUCAACUGAAAAUUCUAACUGCGAAUGAUGUGGGAACAACGCUUACGAUCGACCACAUUAGGCUGCCUGUAAAUCCCCCAUUCACCUCAAGACCAUUUGUGUUGUGCGGGGACAAGUUUGAGGGUAAGCUGAAGGGGCUACACGGAGGAUGAUGCAGACUGACUUUCUUGUUAAUAGCAGUAAUCACAUUGACAAAGUAGGUGAAACAUCUUGUGGGAUUGGCAUCUGGCUGGGCUCUAGAAGUUGCACGAGAGUGCUUCAAUUCUCAUUCUAAAGCAAAUAUUCAUUUGAAAGAAGUCCAGGAUGAAGGCGAGGAAGAUGAGGAUGAUGGAAUGGAAGAUUUGAUGAGAAUAAGGAUGGAGGGACGCUAUAUCCUAUAAAAGUCAGACUCAAGCUUAUGGGAAUUCAAAAGAGCAGAAAGGAGGAAGAAGAAUCUCAAGACUUGUUACGAUUUGAAACUCAAGAUCUUGAAGACCAAGGUGGUAGAGCUGGGAUUUACCCUAGCAGCACUUGCUCAUGUUUGACACAAUGCCAUGCUGGAUGAAAAGAACAAUAAGUUAUGCCAGCAGUGGAGGCCUGUUGUUCAAGCAUUUCAGGCAUAUUUUCAGCUUUGCUACAGGAGAUUUGGUAGCUUGCUGUACAGGAACAUGCAUGCUUUGGAAUUUCACCCCAUCAUCAUGCAUGGAGGGCAUAUCACUUUUAUUGAAGUCCAUCCUGAAGUAUACUAUAGAGAUGAACGCAAUUGUAGAGUUAAAAGUUCUUGAACUCUGAGUGAUCUGGGCUGACCUGAUUGCUGAUUGGCAAGCAUGGGAAGAAGUGAAGGACAUGUCCAUCUUUGAUGCCAUAAAACUAGUUGUUCAUUUGCAUGGAAGACACUAAAUAAAGGGCGUUGCUAGCCCCACAUGCACCUCCUAUUUCCUAAUGUUCAAUAAUCGAAGGCAUCGAUACAUUUAUCAGCGAGUCAUGGAAGGACCCUUUGCUGCAACAUGGAGCGCUUGCUCUUGUGCACAUGUUUUACUUGAUUUGCCAAGGUUCUCAUUUGAAACUGAAAGAAUUAAACAAGCAUUAGCAAUUGCUUUUUAUAAAGCCACAUUUUCACGUUCUCUUGACAUUCUGAGCAAGCCAGGGGCUUUGUGGAAGCCUCUUUUUCUGUUUAUUACAUCUUGUAUAUAUUUUGCCUUGAUUAUAUAAAUAAGUUUUUGGAGAAGGAUGAGGAUGAAGGUUUCACUG